GAUGAACGCUGGCGGCGUGCCUAAUACAUGCAAGUCGAGCGAACAGACGAGGAGCUUGCUCCUCUGACGUUAGCGGCGGACGGGUGAGUAACACGUGGAUAACCUACCUAUAAGACUGGGAUAACUUCGGGAAACCGGAGCUAAUACCGGAUAACAUGUUGAACCGCAUGGUUCAACAGUGAAAGACGGUUUUGCUGUCACUUAUAGAUGGAUCCGCGCCGCAUUAGCUAGUUGGUAAGGUAACGGCUUACCAAGGCAACGAUGCGUAGCCGACCUGAGAGGGUGAUCGGCCAAACUGGAACUGAGACACGGUCCAGACUCCUACGGGAGGCAGCAGUAGGGAAUCUUCCGCAAUGGGCGAAAGCCUGACGGAGCAACGCCGCGUGAGUGAAGAAGGUCUUCGGAUCGUAAAACUCUGUUAUUAGGGAAGAACAAAUGUGUAAGUAACUAUGCACGUCUUGACGGUACCUAAUCAGAAAGCCACGGCUAACUACGUG
rnacentral:rRNA from 1 species